UCGAUCAUCUCGUUAUCUGUCCUACAUCAACAUGGGAAAACUUCUCAUUGUAUUGACUCUUCUCUGCUUCGUGGCCCUGACGACCGCUUGUCCUCUUGGAACGCAGCAACACUAUAAUCGUCGCUGCUGUUAUCAUAACUUUCAUUGCCAUCUCGGAGAAUAUUGUAGAAUUGUGUCUCACUUCCCGUAUACGCACGGCUACUGCCGUAUUGCAACCGGCGAUUAUGUAGGACGAUAAAAUUAAGGGAAGAAUGGAAAAAGGCACAUGAUUGGCAAAUUGACAAAACAGCUUGAUAUUUCAAAUAAAUUAAACUUGCAGUGAUCAAUGUUCAAUCAAUUUAUAAUUGAAGCAUUUGAAUAAAAUUUUGCAUCUUG